UCAGAGGAAGUCGACGUGCAGAGAGCAGCAGCAGCAGGAGCAGUUUGGGACAGAGGAGAUAGCACAUUGCCAAAAAGGGGCUCAGGACUCUAUGGAGAGAUGGAGACCAAGGAGAAACAUUCUUCAGGGAGGCGGCAUCCGGUGGAGUUGACGUGCUCAAGACGAAGCAUCAGACACACCUGGAGCUAUUCCCAGCCCGGCCAUUUACAAGUCCUGAGACCUGGAAACUUCUGUUGGACAGCAUUGUUCCAGAACCCAAGAUCUUAACCCCUUCACCAAAACGGUUCCAUGAGACUCACGCUGUCAACUGACAGUCUCUGUGGAGGUUUCCCAGGAAACAACAUUCAAGACAGGAAGAUUCCUAUCUCUUCCCACCACCACCCACCUUCAAGGAAAAAAAAAAAACUCUACCACCAUGUUAACAAGGAAAUCAAAAGAACUCUGAGUUGCAUUCAUCUAAUGACAAAUUCAAUAUAAAGCCCUGAAAAGUAUAUCCGAAUUCAUGACACACUUCUAAGAAGAUAGUUACUUUCACCUAUUGCUUCUGGAGGAUGAGAAUUCUGUAUUCAUUAUCUAAUCCUAUGCAUCUUUUCCCAACGCUGUGUUCAGUGACACAACAGCAGCUUGAUGGUGAUCUUCUCCUGGCUCCCCGAUCCAGGACUGACUCCUCUUCCUGUCCACUUCCAUCAAUAUACAUGCCUUCAAAAGGCAGGAGGAAGCGAGGCACAGGGUGGAGGCUGCAAUGGCCAGAGAAGCAGGUCGGGCAUGGAGCUAAAUCAUAAUAAGGAUCAUUCAUUCAUUCGUUCAUUCACUCCACAAAUGCUCUCCCAGAGCCCACUGUGCGCCUGGCAGGCUUCUACAGCCAGCACCAGCUAGAAAACGGGCCUUGAUCAAUGCAAGUGACGAUAGGAGAUUCAUUGUCCAAAAGCUGUUAGGAGCUUCACAAUGGUGGCACAGAGCAUUAAACCAACUGCAGGAUCCUUCUGAGCAGGAACCCCUUCUCAGCCCUUCUGAGCCCAGCCCAAUAGCACGGUUGUGGGGUUUGGGGAUAUGGUCGUGAACACAUCUGAACAAACAUGCCUGCCUUCAGGGGACCUCACAGUUUGAUGGAGAGAGUUGUUGUUCAGUCACUAAGUUGUGUCCAACUCUUUCCGACCCCAUGAACUGCAG